AGUGAACGCUGGCGGUAUGCCUAACACAUGCAAGUCGAACGGCAGCACAGUAAGAUCUUGCUCUUACGGGUGGCGAGUGGCGGACGGGUGAGGAAUACAUCGGAAUCUACUUUUUCGUGGGGGAUAACGUAGGGAAACUUACGCUAAUACCGCAUACGACCUACGGGUGAAAGCAGGGGAUCUUCGGACCUUGCGCGAUUGAAUGAGCCGAUGUCGGAUUAGCUAGUUGGCGGGGUAAAGGCCCACCAAGGCGACGAUACGUAGCUGGUCUGAGAGGAUGAUCAGCCACACUGGAACUGAGACACGGUCCAGACUCCUACGGGAGGCAGCAGUAGGGAAUAUUGGACAAUGGGCGCAAGCCUGAUCCAGCCAUACCGCGUGGGUGAAGAAGGCCUUCGGGUUGUAAAGCCCUUUUGUUGGGAAAGAAAAGCAGCAGGUUAAUACCCCGCUGUUCUGACGGUACCCAAAGAAUAAGCACCGGCUAACUUCGUG
rnacentral:rRNA from 1 species